rfam:Strigamia maritima strain Brora ctg7180001231507, whole genome shotgun sequence.
GGUAGCGUGGCCGAGCGGUCUAAGGCGCUGGUUUUAGGCACCAGUCCGAAAGGGCGUGGGUUCGAAUCCCACCGCUGCCA